rnacentral:tRNA from 1 species
AGCCCCGUGGUGUAGAUCCGCAAGGAGCACAAUGGUCAAGCAUGGCGGCCUUUGGAGCCGCCGACCCCGGUUCGAAUCCGGGCGGGGCUACCA